rnacentral:rRNA from 1 species
UGCAAGUCGAACGGUGAUGGCCAGCUUGCUGGUCUGAUCAGUGGCGAACGGGUCAGUAACACGUGAGUAACCUGCCCCUGACUCUGGGAUAACUACCGGAAACGGUGGCUAAUACCGGAUAUGAGGUGCCUGGGCAUCUGGGCGCCUGGAAAGUUUUUCGGUCAGGGAUGGGCUCGCGGCCUAUCAGCUUGUUGGUGGGGUGAUGGCCUACCAAGGCGACGACGGGUAGCCGGCCUGAGAGGGCGACCGGCCACACUGGGACUGAGACACGGCCCAGACUCCUACGGGAGGCAGCAGUGGGGAAUAUUGCACAAUGGGCGCAAGCCUGAUGCAGCGACGCCGCGUGCGGGAUGACGGCCUUCGGGUUGUAAACCGCUUUCAGCAGGGAAGAAGCGCAAGUGACGGUACCUGCAGAAGAAGCGCCGGCUAACUACGUGCCAGCAGCCGCGGUAAUACGUAGGGCGCAAGCGUUGUCCGGAAUUAUUGGGCGUAAAGAGCUCGUAGGCGGUUUGUCGCGUCUGCUGUGAAAUCCUCAGGCUCAACCUGGGGCUUGCAGUGGGUACGGGCAGACUAGAGUGCGGUAGGGGUGACUGGAAUUCCUGGUGUAGCGGUGGAAUGCGCAGAUAUCAGGAGGAACACCGAUGGCGAAGGCAGGUCACUGGGCCGCAACUGACGCUGAGGAGCGAAAGCAUGGGGAGCGAACAGGAUUAGAUACCCUGGUAGUCCAUGCCGUAAACGUUGGGCACUAGGUGUGGGGUCCAUUCCACGGAUUCCGUGCCGCAGCAAACGCAUUAAGUGCCCCGCCUGGGGAGUACGGCCGCAAGGCUAAAACUCACAGAAAUUGACGGGGGCCCGCACAAGCGGCGGAGCAUGCGGAUUAAUUCGAUGC